GUAGGUGGCAAGCGUUGUCCGGAAUUAUUGGGCGUAAAGCGCGCGCAGGCGGUUCUUUAAGUCUGAUGUGAAAGCCCACGGCUCAACCGUGGAGGGUCAUUGGAAACUGGAGAACUUGAGUACAGAAGAGGAAAGCGGAAUACCACGUGUAGCGGUGAAAUGCGUAGAGAUGUGGAGGAACACCAGUGGCGAAGGCGGCUUUCUGGUCUGUAACUGACGCUGAGGCGCGAAAGCGUGGGGAGCAAACAGGAUUAGAUACCCUGGUAGUCCACGCCGUAAACGAUGAGUGCUAAGUGUUAGGGGGGUUUUCCGCCCCCCUUAGUGCUGCAGCUAACGCAUUAAGCACUCCCGCCUGGGAGUACGGCCGCAAGGCUG
rnacentral:rRNA from 1 species